rnacentral:rRNA from 1 species
AGAGUUUGAUCCUGGCUCAGAUUGAACGCUGGCGGCAGGCCUAACACAUGCAAGUCGAGCGAGAAAGCACUUCGGUGUGAGUACAGCGGCGGACGGGUGAGUAACGCGUAGGAAUCUACCUAGUAGUGGGGGACAACAUGUGGAAACGCAUGCUAAUACCGCAUACGCCCUAUGGGGGAAAGCAGGGGAUCUUCGGACCUUGCGCUAUUGGAUGAGCCUGCGUCAGAUUAGCUAGUUGGUGGGGUAAUGGCCUACCAAGGCAACGAUCUGUAGCUGGUCUGAGAGGAUGAUCAGCCACACUGGGACUGAGACACGGCCCAGACUCCUACGGGAGGCAGCAGUGGGGAAUAUUGGACAAUGGGCGAAAGCCUGAUCCAGCCAUGCCGCGUGUGUGAAGAAGGCUCUAGGGUUGUAAAGCACUUUCAGUAGGGAGGAAAAGUUAGUAGUUAAUAACUGCUAACCCUGACGUUACCUACAGAAGAAGCACCGGCAAACUCCGUGCCAGCAGCCGCGGUAAUACGGAGGGUGCGAGCGUUAAUCGGAAUUACUGGGCGUAAAGCGCGCGUAGGCGGUUUGAUAAGCUGGAUGUGAAAGCCCUGGGCUUAACCUGGGAACUGCAUCCAGAACUGUCUGACUAGAGUACAGUAGAGGUGAGUGGAAUUUCCUGUGUAGCGGUGAAAUGCGUAGAUAUAGGAAGGAACAUCAGUGGCGAAGGCGGCUCACUGGACUGAUACUGACGCUGAGGUGCGAAAGCGUGGGGGGCAAACAGGAUUAGAUACCCUGGUAGUCCACGCCGUAAACGAUGUCUACUAGCCGUUGGGAUCCUUGAGGUCUUAGUGGCGCAGCUAACGCAAUAAGUAGACCGCCUGGGGAGUACGGCCGCA